UGCGCAAACAAAUUCGCAUACAUGAAGAAAAAGUCAUUUGCGCUGGUGCCUUUCCCGUGGCAGACGCGCUCGUUCUCCAUGCUGACAGCUACUCUUACCAAGCGCGUGUCUGCCGUAUCUCUCACUAAAUAGGACCGGGCUACCCAAUCCUGGAGAGAUGUGCGCGAAAUACUGGACGGUUGAGUAUUUGUGUCAAACCCGGCCCAGUCAUACCCAUCUACCCGGGGAAGCCCUCCCACCGGGACCAAAGGCGCCGGAUCCACGGUCAAGCCCCCUCGCAAUAAAAAUAGGGGGGCUCCGUGGAAGAUCCGUCCGCUGUUAACCGGGGCGGAGGACCCUUGAGCUAUGGUCACCGCCUCGGCCAGAGCAGAUGGCACGGCCGAAUCCUC
rnacentral:lncRNA from 1 species